AUGGCUAAAAUGAGGCUGUGUUUGUGCCCAGUGUUCUGUAUGGUUGUAGUGAGACUAUCCAGGGGAGAUAGUGUUGUACAGACACCUAGUGAAGAUGCAUCUGAGGAGGGAAGACAGGUCACCUUCUUUUGCAAAUAUGAAACAUUGGAUACUGACCCUUAUCUCCACUGGUAUGUGCAGCCCCCUGGGAAAACCCCAAACUUCAUCCUAUGGAGAAAUAAGUACAGCACAGAAGAGGUGCAAAAAGGAACAAAGUUUUCAGCAAAACUGGAUAAAGAGAGCAAGUCCAUCUCCCUGAGUAUUUCUGGUGUCAGUGCGUCUGACUCAGGGGUGUAUUAUUGUGCUCUGAGGCCCACAGUGUCUCUGUCUGCAGCCUGGGUUGUACAGGAAGCCAUGAACAGAUGA